CUCAUACUCUUAACAUAUGAGUGAACUGAUACUUUUCAUAUACGUAUACCACAAAUGCUCUGAAUUUUGUUUCACGAGAGAUGUUAUGACAUGGAAUGCACUGUUUCUUCAUGAAAUAUGCACCUUUUAAUAGCAGUUACUGAAAGGGUGAUAUAUACAACCCUAUUUCUCCUGUCACCGAAUAAAAUGAAAUUCAUAGACCUGCUCUUAGCUAACGUGAUACACAUUUUAUGGCUAAAUAAGGCCUUGAAAAUGAAAAUCUUCUGCCCUUCUCAUGAGGUAUAUAGAUCCAAAUUAAAUGAAGAAGUUACAUUAAGGCCCCUGCAAACCUUGAAAAGGGUGUAUUGGCUUGUUCAUUCUUUCUACGGAUAAUAAACUCACCUGUCAAACAUAUUCUAGAGAGCCAGCCACGGCAGGCAAGUGCCCCCUGCCUCAGCUUCCUUUCUGUGUUUUCCAUUUUCUGAAAUUGGGCAUACCUUCUGGAGGUCGGACUAUAAGAGAUUGAUAGAUACCUUAGGAUCAGUUUGCACGUGAAAAGGUAGUAAUUGAUCCCUGGCCACUCCAUGAGCCACCAUUUAGCAUCUUGUGCAAUUUCGGAAGUUAAAUCAGGAUAACUACUUGAAAAAUAAAAGGAGGUAAAGAAGCUCACUUCCCUUCAGCUUUAGAAAAUAUAUAUUCUGUUAGAAAAACUGUUGACUGACAUGUUUUGACCCACACGGUGAUAAAUAUGACCAAGCACCAACAUUUUCUCCAUCGUACAAACCGCCUUUGCAAGAGCCUGGAGAGAUUCCCGCUGGUCUCUGCAGGAUUUGGCUUGAGCUCCUCUGCAGGAAUUAGUUCGUGCCAGUAGAAGUAAAUAGGCCCUUGGGGAUGCUGCUGCCGCAGCCGAGGUAUUUAUUUUUAUAAUAACUUGUCGGCUGGUGCAGAGAUGGGAAGUCACAACCACAGCUCCUGCAUGCAAAACUCCACACCAUUCAUGCUUACCAGUUAGUGCCCUCUGCAAGAACAGGUAUGGUAAGAGCCAUGAGCUUGGGGGCUGCACUACCAAAGGCUUCCAGCACCCUGACAGCCAUUUGCCAUGCUUCUGGGAGCAGCUUCUACCUCCCAGCAGGCAAAGAUGACCCCUUGGACCAUGGGGUAACGGAGGCUGAGGGCAUCAGAGGGUCACAGGAUUUUCCUAACAGAGCCAAUCAAAUGUGCUUCUUCUGAAGGAGCCUUCCUCACUGCUUACGAUUUCUAGUGGUUGCCCUCACUGUGUUAUUGUGAUAACAAUCCUUUCUCUGGCUUGGCUCCUAGGUGCCUCCUAGCUAAUAGAGCCCCCGACCAUCUGAGGAGCUCUUCUUCUAGCCUCCAAAAUUGUCUCCAGAUUUCUCUGCUCUUACUUUCAAAUCAGGUAGGAAACAGGAGGGAAGCGCAACUCUCUAUUCAUCCCCUCGAGGGAAAAGAGGGCAGAUCGGUCAGUGACCACAUUUCAUUAGUCAAAGAAGAAAUGAAGUUACUCUCCUUCCCUUGCCAGACUCCUGCACUCGUACCAAAAUGAAAAUAAGACUGAAAGGGCCUUUGAUAAUGACACAGCACUUUCUCAUCACGUGUGCUCUUUUAUCAGCACUUACAGCCAUCUGAGCACAGAGUGAAGCCCUGUAGAAUUGGCUGGUUUUCACAUUUUCAAGAAUUGUUUUCUCACUUAUUUCCUGUUUUCUUAUCAGCAGGCCCAACUACAUCCAGAACCUAGAUAAUAGUUGCAUUGGUAUCACUGCCAGCUUUGUUUAAACUCCCUUUUCUACUCUUUAAACAAGCUUGGAGCUCCACUUAUUCCCCUUCUGAUACAUAACUUAAGGAAAACUUGACUUGAGGCCAACAAUAUCUAAAAAAGGAGACAGAAAGCUUGAGCAGAAUAGGAAACAGGUAAUUUUGCUGCUGUUGCAAGCGCUGGAACAUAGACUUAGCAUUUUCUAAUAACUUUCUCCAGCUGCCAGUUACUUGUUCAAAAUGAAACACAUAUACUGCAGGGGGAAGAAGGCUGAUGUAUUUCUAAGUUGAAAGAAACGUUGUCCAACAUCUGUGUGCCACCUGGUAGCCUCAACCAAAAUUUUCCCCUCCUCCCAGCUGUAGCUUGCCUGGCUACGCAUCCGUUGGUUGCCACCUCCGCUCCAGCAGCAGCUGCGCGACAGUGGAUUUGCACCUAUAGCAUAGAAUCCGUAGGCUCCGUUCCAUUUUCACCAAGUCCAAACUCCCUUUGGAGUUCACCUGGGGAAGCAGUCAGAAAAAGUGACCAAGAGCCUCAAAUCACAGCCCGGAGCAUCCGAGUCCUCUGGGAUCCAGCAGGAGCCAAACCCCUUCGGCAGUAUGUAGCUUCCAUGGAAAAUCAUGAGCCCCCUGAGCAUCCACCCAGCCGAGCAGGAAAGCCUAUGUUAGUGUUGGACAGCCGUAACACCUUCAUGAUCUGUGAGCGGAAAACAUCAAAGGCCACCGAAUCCCAGAGCCCCAGCUCCCUCUCCUGGCAGAGCACCGCAGUGGGAACAGGCAGGGGGCCGGCAGGGUGCUCCCCCCGGCACCGGCAGCCUGAGCCCCCAGCCCCGCAGACGAACCGGGCCCCCAGCGAGCGGUGGCUCCUCUCCGCAAGGAGCCGGGGGUAAUAACGCAGCUACCAGCAGAUUACUGCAGGAUUAGCAAAGGCAAAAUCUAUUCCAGUGAGGAACAUCUGCGACAUAGCUUUAGCUGCAUAAAAAAUAUGUACUUGAGCACAGAUAAAACUUCAUUGCUGCGCAUUAUCUGCAGUCCUUAAGGUUGGGGGUAGUGCAAUUUAUUCUCUAAUACUUCGGUACCAGACUGACUUAUGUGCAACCGUGCCUUGAUUCCUCUCCGACACCACAGUCACCUUCUGUUUGCUGUUUUCUGUGAACACCAAGCCCACAAAGUGCUUCCCCAGAUUGUAACUUACUCCUUGAGAAACACACAUUUCUCAGGCUAGAUAUGAACCUGUCGCUGCAGCAGGUAACAUACAACACAGAGGUUUUCGUUAGUAUUCUUCAGCCAUUCAGAAACAUAUGCUGCUUUUCUAUAUGUGGAGGCAAGGUUUAUUGGCCCUACAUCCCGAGAAGCAUCCAUGACAUCCCUGCUUGGUGAAACAUGCGCUGGCACCAGGUCCUUGGGCAUGGCACCAGAGCUGGAAGGGUGAGACCUGUUGUGCGGCCCAAGGCUGAGCCACGCUCCUUCUCAGCCUGCAGCAUGUGCCUCUGCUGCUUCAGAGAACACGGCGGCUCUUGAAGCAGCGCAAGGCAGCGGGGGCUCACCCCGAGCACAAAGCCCCCAAGAGCGACCUGAGCCGGCACAGCCCCGCGGCACGGCAGCACCCAUCCCUUCCAGGCUCAGCACCAUCACGGCGCGCUGGGAGCCCAGCUUGGCGCUGUUCUGGUUGUAUAGAGGUUCAUGCGGUUUGGCCAUCUGGACCGUUGGCUGUUAGCAACUUGGGUCCAUCAGCAGUUCAGUCUUGCAGCAUUUUGAUUCAGUUUUUCUGUGUUUGCACACCAAGGGUGGCUGAAGUCAACCCAAAGCCUCCCUAGCAAGCGGGUGGGUUUGGGCUGCCAGGGCCGGGGGGUGUGUGUGUGCUGUUAACAUCAGACCUUCUCCAUUCCUACUGUUUCUGUGGAGAAAGUAGAAAUGGGGAUUCCUGUACAAGACACAAAAUAGCUCUCUUAACUGUUUACAGCAGCCUUUUUUAGAGGAUUAUUUGAUUGGUUUUCAUUUUUUUUGGCAAUGAGCUCUUGAUUAGGAGGAGCAGGAGGCAGCUCAGAGACGCACACGCUGGUUUCUGUUGUGGCUGUGUUUCCUCUAGGUUUCGCGCCAGCGCAGUUUUCCCAAGGUGAUGGCCUUUUGCAGGUCAGUGGCUUGCUUCAGGAGGCCCCCUCACCCUCCAGCAUGGACUACAGCUCCUGCUUACAUGGGAGAGAAAAGGAUAUAUUGAAGAAGACAGAGAACAACAGAGGGAAACAUGUGCUUCUGGAUAUUGCAAAGAUCUCUAAACUUCACUACAAGACGUUACCAGCACGCUCAUCGGUUUCAUGUUAGGUAUCGUAAGCAACUUAUCUUUGCAAUACCAUAAUGCAAAAUUUUCUCAAAGAAGCAAAGGUCCCUUUCUUGCAAAUGCUCACACAUUUCCUCGUUCCUGCAGUUCUCAUCAGGCUGCAGUUCUGUGCUGUCCUGCGAAUUGUUCGGUUAUUACUUGCUCAAAACUGACUUCAGUUAAAAUUACUAUAAGAAAACAUUAGACUCUUUGUGACCUGAAAAACAGUGGUUUCAUUUUCUUCCUUUACCUCUCUUCAGUAUUUCAUCCCUAGCAGUCAUUACGUUCCUGUGAUAAAACCAAAGCUCAAUAUUAAUGUACUAUAUUCUGGAAUACGUCUCACAACCAAUCAUCACAUGUUGGUGCUUACUUCCAGCUUACGUAGCAUUACUAUUGUUAACUGAUUGUAUCUCUUUAUGUUUGGUCAGUCGGGUUUUCCAACCAAGGAUGUAUUUUCAGACAUCUGAAUAUGUUCAUGAUUUUUCUCAUAACAUUAUCUUUUAAUGCUACUUUUCUUAGCUUGUACAUGUUUUCUUAAAGUAUAGAAAGACUAUUAACAUACUUCAAGUUCUGCUCCCCCACAGGUCAGGAUUUGGCCCCUUGUCUGACGGUCUGUCUUGUGACAGAGCUAGGACCGAGAGAAGGGAAUGUUACACCUAAUGCACUUUUCAGGUUUAUUCAUUUAUUUUCAGCUGUUCUCCAACCGCAGUAGGUAAGCAGUUUUAAAUUCAAGAAAUAGCUCACGGUGUCAAAUGGAGGAAGGAAAGACGAGCCAGUAGGGACAACAUUUUCCACAGCUGAAGAGCACUGGAUGAAGCAGUGGUGUUGGUCCUUCUGAGCAGCAGCAAUCCCCGGCUGAGUUCCCUCCGAUCCCACAGCCUGCAUUUCCAAGGCCAACAGUCCCCGCACAGGACUUGUUCUCCCCACCAUUCCUCAUGCAAGAAACCCUGUUCACAUCCCUGGCUGCCCACGUGGGUUCUGUCAAUACACAAAGUGGCUGAUACGUGAGAAAGGGCUAUGCAUCUAUGGGCAGAGCUAUCAUCCUGCCUCCCAAGUACCUGUUCAGGAAGAGAUCUUAAAAUGCAUUGUUUCAAGUAAAAAACAUUCAGUUCUUUGCUUCCAGAAGCAGCUGAUGCAGUAGGAGAGCACUACCCACACUUAGUUUAUGGACCAGUUUGGCCACACAGCUUGCUAGUGGAACUACCAGCAGCUCGUAAUCCAGACCCCGACGUACUCCUGGCACUACGCUUUGUACCCUGCGUUUGGCUUCGGUGGGAACACCCUGAGGCUCUCUGAAGAUGCAAGGACCAACACCACAAAGGGUCAGAUCCUUCUCUGCCCUGCAGCCUUGCUCUGUAUGCUGCUGGGGACAGCGGCCGGGCAGCGUUCCUGACGGAUGAAGGGCUGUUGUCCAUGGAUGUGGAUGGAUGGGCCCUGCUCCUGCUCUGCCCAGUGGCCUCUAAACACUCCCAGCUCAUGGGAAAUGGCAAGAACCACUGAAUUUCAGCCAUUGAUCCCCUCCCCUCCCUCCUUCCCUCUUUUCUCCUUCUUUCUGUCCACUUGGCUGGCCGUGGGCAAGCUUUGCCCCCAGCUCCCAGUGCUGGGGGGGGAGGUGGGUGCAGGAUGGUUCGGGUUUAUGGCACGGGCUUUCUGUGAACAAAACUCUUUAAAACACAAAAAAAAGUAAAAUCAAGCAGCUGUAGCUGAUGUCAGAGCAGUGGCUGAGUGCAUCUGCUUUUUCUCGCCUCCAAAGCAAAUCAAUAUGGCUUUAAAUGAUUUCCCUGAUGCCUGGAUUUCUUACCUCACGCCGCUGUUAGCCCAGCCACAAACUGCCUGGUCAUUCCUACCUCCUCUUUUCAGUCUCUCUCCCCUGGCCGCUUCUCAUUGCCUUCUCUUAAAAAUGCACACAAAAUACUCACUGGAGCAGCUCGGUUUUGCUCAUGUGUCGUUGUCGCACACAGGCACAUUCGCCACCACUUGCGGCCACACACACACACUCACCACGGUGCCUCAGUGCACGCACUGCCCAGCUGUAUCUCCAUCCCUCUCCCCGUGCACACUGCCUGGCUCAUCACUGCCUCAGCAGCAUCUGCUUUUCAGGGGUUUUUCUUCUGAUGCUGCAGUUAGUGAGGAAACGCUCGUGUUUACUUGCAACUCUGUCACAGAUAUUAAUGCUUUAAUAAAAAAAAAUAAAAUUAUUCAAUCUCUUGAAUUCUGGGGGGGGGGGUGGGGGGUGUCUUUCCCCCAUGCCCCUCUGCCCCCCUUGGGGCAGGCAUAUUUGAGUGUAAACCGAUCACCAGUGCUAAAAAUAAAAGACUUCCACACGGAUAAACCCAUGCUUUGGGGACUGCCCCAUUUUUCUAGAUCCUGCCUAAUCUUGGAUUUGGGUUGUUGAGAACACAAGGUAUGGCUAAGGGUAUAAAAAGCCCUCAGAAAUCCUUAUGCACCAUCUGAGUAUAUUGACGUACGAGCGACACGCAGAGAGGAACCCGCAGUCCGUCAGCGCAGCCGCUGGCGCAGGAGUCCCCUGAAUCCCCUUAUCACUUCAGCGGUGCGCACAAACACAUUAGCUGCUUAUUCCAGCAGAACCCUCGGCUUACAAAGCCAAACUGCUGCUGCCAGAUUCAUCACCUUGUUCUUAUUUAUUUAUUUUCACCAUGUAUUACUCUCCCACUUAAUUUUGCAUUUCGAGGUGCUUUCAUAUGCCUAGUCACCCGCUUCAAGUAUCUAGAUCAUUACUUGCCUCUGAUUAGCGCAGUGCAUUUGAGUGGGGUGCUGGAGGCAAAAAUUUAAAAUGUAUCAAAAUGCAAAUAUGCCCCCAUUGACCUCUGGAAAAAUGUGUUACAUUGCAAAGUACUUUCUAAGAAAGCCAGAAAGGAAGAGGAGAGAGAGUAUGAAUUUGCAGAGGUUUGUGAUAUUAAAAAAAAAAUAAUUGCAAACGGUUACUCAGAGGU